AUUUGCCUCAUAUUUCAGCACGACCUCAUGAUUUUUAAUGGAUAAACUUGUAAGCAGAAGAAGAAAUGUUUAGUGAAUAGAAGACGGCUGAGGUCCCUAAACAGCCCUGUAGUUGGACAUAACUUGGACCCUUAUUGUUGAAGUCCAAUAUGAUGAUCUAUUGCGACAUAUUGCUAGUGUUUGGUUCUCUUUUCUUAUUUUGAUUUGUAAGUUUGUAACCAGAAGUUGUGCCAACAACAAGAUACAAAUCCAAACCCAUUGUCACUAUACUUUAAUGUCAUUUGAUUUACUCCACCGAACAAUGUAAGUGCUAUUUGUAUGAAAAGACUGUUUCGGACC